GGAAAUGUGGCUUAGUGGUAGAGUGCUUGCCUAACAUGCAUGAAGUCUUGGGUUUGAUUCCUCAUAAAUACA
rnacentral:tRNA from 1 species